rnacentral:rRNA from 1 species
UGGCUAGUGGCGAACGGGUGAGUAAUGCGUCGGAACGUGCCGAGUAAUGGGGGAUAACGCAGCGAAAGUUGUGCUAAUACCGCAUACGCCCUGAGGGGGAAAGUGGGGGAUCGCAAGACCUCACGUUAUUCGAGCGGCCGACGUCUGAUCAGCUAGUUGGCGGGGUAAUGGCCCACCAAGGCUACGACGGGUAGCUGGUCUUAGAGGACGACCAGCCACACUGGAACUGAGACACGGUCCAGACACCUACGGGUGGCAGCAGUCGAGAAUCUUUCACAAUGGGGGCAACCCUGAUGGAGCGACGCCGCGUGGAGGAUAAGGUCUUCGGAUUGUAAACUCCUGUCAUGCGAGAACAAGGUUGCAUAGCUAACACCUUUGCAAAUUGAUGGUACCGCAAGAGGAAGAGACGGCUAACUCUGUGCCAGCAGCCGCGGUAAUACAGAGGUCUCAAGCGUUGUUCGGAAUCACUGGGCGUAAAGGGUGCGUAGGUGGCGUGGUAAGUCAGAUGUGAAAGCCCGGGGCUCAACCUCGGAAUUGCAUCCGAUACUACCAUGCUAGAGUACUGAAGAGGUGACUAGAAUUCUAGGUGUAGCAGUGAAAUGCGCAGAUAUCUAGAGGAAUACCAACGGCGAAGGCAGGUCACUGGGCAGUUACUGACACUGAGGCACGAAGGCCAGGGGAGCAAACGGGAUUAGAUACCCCGGUAGUCCUGGCAGUAAACGGUGCACGUUUGGUGUGGGCGCAAUCGACCGCGUCCGCGCCGGAGCUAACGCGUUAAACGUGCCGCCUGGAAGUACGGUCGCAAGAUUAAAACUCAAAGGAAAUUGACGGGGACCCGCACAAGCGGUGGAGUAUGUGGCUUAAUUCGAUGCUACGCGAAGAACCUUACCUGGUCUUGACAUGCAUUGUGUCUCCGCUGAAAGUCGUAUAGGUUACUAUACCGCUUUGGCACAGUUUCNCAGUUCACGUCGGUGCUUCUUAUAAAAUUUCUCC